rnacentral:rRNA from 1 species
AUGUGUGAUGUUACUAUCUAUGUUACUUCCACUGUGAGUAGUCUCGUGGAAGCAGACGGCAAUGAGAUCUGGCGCCUGCCGGAGGAGCUCCUCGCAUCGAUCAUCUCCCUCACGUCGCCGCCUGACGCCGGACGCUGUGCCGCCGUCUCCCGGGCCUUCCUUGCCGCCGCGGACUCGGACGCCGUCUGGUCCUGCUUCCUGCCCCACGACCUCCCACAGUUCGCUCAGGGCGUGCUCCGCCGCGCGCCGCCGUCCAAGAAGGGCUUGUUCCGAUGCCUCUCCGACCAACCGGCGCUCCUCCCAGGCAAGCUCGUGAGCAUGCGGCUGGACCGGGCUACUGGCGCCAAGUGCUACAUGCUCUCGGCGAGGUCGCUGCAUAUUUCGUGGGGCGAGACAAGACAAUACUGGGAAUGGAUCAAACUCCGUUCUCACAGAUUCUCUGAAGCAGCUCAACUUCGGGGAGUUUGGUGGCUGUUAAUCCGUGGCAAAAUACAUAGCACAAUGCUCUGCCGGAACUCCAAGUAUGCUGCUUACAUGGUGUUCAAGCUAGCGGAUGAGUUCACCAAGCUUGAUUUCCCGUUUCAAGAGGCAUCAAUAAGUGUUGGAGGGAAUGAUUCAUCAACACGCCAAGUUUGCCUCCAAGCCUACAUGGAGGAUGGGGAUGACGGGGUACCUCGCAAACAUAUCUUGAGGUCAAGUUGGGAAAUCCGUCUGCCUCGUAUGAAACGUCGUGCAAUUCGUCUCACGGAUGACGUUAUGCUCCCUCGAAAAAGGGCUGACGGCUGGAUGGAGGUCGAGCUAGGCGAGUUCUACAACGGAGAAGGCUGCGACGGUGACAUGUUUGUGACCCUAAUGGAGACAGAAGCAGGAGUUUUCAAGAGUGGUCUUAUUGUGUGGGGUAUCGAGAUUAGAACUAAGCAAUGA